GACUUCAAGCAACAUAUGAACAUAUAUGUACAUGUACAUAUAUAUGUAGGUUAUUCAUUGGUUAGUUCAUUCCAUCAAUGAAACCUUAAGAUACAGUGGAAGAGGGAGGGACUCCUAACGCAGCACUUUACUCAACUCUAUAAACAAUUCACAUUCAUUAGGAGACAAACAUGUCUCAGGUGGGCCGGAAUGGGAGUGACGUAGUGGGGCUUCCCAAGGGACUGGCCUAUUGAUACCACGUCAACACAAUUCCUCCCUAUAUAGCGGAGGGUCGGGCUGAGGGUAAAAAGACGAGACUAGGCCCGAACAAACAAAUCCUUGAACAGCUUCAGGGGAAGAACAUCAUUUAAAGAGAAGAAGAAAAUCACUUAAAAAGAAGAGACAAAAUAUGCCUGGUUCUGAGCCAAGAGAUCUGACUACAGGAGAAAAAGUAGCUUGUGUUGUCACUGUAGGUCUAUAUUACCUUUAUCUCAAGGCCAAGGGUGACGUCUAGCAAGAUACAAAAAGGCCAUUUGGCAUUGUUACAAAAUGCCACUCGUGGAUAACCAAACAUUACUGCUUUUAUCGUAAUUUUUACCUACUUUUAAUGACAUUUCUAAGUAUACACUGAAAUUAUUUUUUACUUUAAUCAUUGAAUUUACAUUGUCAACACAAAAUAGAGCAAACAAGUGCACGUGCAUGGCAUCAUUAGUAAGCUCUCGUACCCUCGCUCCCACAAGUUAUGGUCAAUAACAUGUAGAAGGGAUUUUCCCGGGGGAAAGUCCAAGUAUCGGCAAUUCUUGAGCAAUAACAAUUAAGUCGUGGGUUCCAACUAAGAAAAGAAGUGAAGGAUAACAAUAACAAUAAUGACAAAUGGACAGAUAUCAGACGAAGGAAAGAAGGUCAGAAAAGGUGCAAUGAUUGGAGGAGCCAGUGGAGCUGCCAUAGGAGUAAUAGGAGGACCAAUUGGAAUAGUCAUUGGAGGAGCAGUGGGAGCUGGAGUAGGUGCAUUAGUGGGGUAUCUGAAAUUCCAACACUCACACUAACAGCACAAGAAAUAUUAGUAUUGUACUGCUUGUACAUGUACAUGUACAUGUAUGUCAAAAUUGUCAAACUGAGAAAUUUAACGAAGAUAUAAAAUAAAUAAAAUAAUUAUUGUACAUGUACAUGUAUGUGAUUGUUUUGUGGUGAAUACGUUGAGUGAAUCCAUUAGUGAAUCCAUUAGUGGUGAUACCCAGAGUCAUUGUAAGCCAUUCCUACUGUGAGGAGAAUGGGCGUCAAUGUUAUAGGCUCAACCAAUGAAAAACAACACGUGAUAUGGAGGACUCUCCCUUGAGGAUUCAUGACAACGCCUAACCAAAUCAGACGUAAAAACAAUUGCCGUAAAAACAAAAUGCCAGGAGAGAAUACCUCAGAUGAAGGAAAUCUGGUAGGAAUUGUGAAGAGAGGAUUUGAAGGAGCAGGAGAAGGUGCAAUUAAAGGAAUAUAUGGUGGACCACCUGGGAUAAUCAUUUGCACUCUUGUUGGGUUUGCUGUUGGAAUUUUUAAGAAUAAUAAAGUUUCCAGUUCUUCCAAUACAUAAUAUCAUGUGUUUUUAAUGCAUUAUAAAAAUGAAAACAAUUGUAAAGUAAAUACCAUGUACAAUGCAAAAGGCCAUUAAAGGAGCAACGUUCAUUUAUCGACACAACCUACACUGCAAACUACUCCCACUGUAUAAAGAUGGGAGUCAACUUUAAAAUGGGCACAGCCUACAAUAUUACCCGUAAAGUAAACAGCAUUAGGGACCUACUCAGCAAAAGGUCUUGGAAAGUGAAGUAAAAGCAAAAAUUUGGACUUUAAAACAGUCAAACAAAGUACAAGCCUUAUCAUUUUAAACCAGAAUGCCAGGACCGAAUCCACCAGUGGAAGUAACGUACAUGAAAAUAGGUGCUGCGUCUGGAGGAGCAACUGGCGCCACCAUAGGAACAGUUGUUGCUGGACCUGUUGGAACUGCAGUUGGUGGAUUGGUUGGAGCUGGUGUUGGUGCUGUUGUUGGACUCUUUGCAUCAAAAUAGCUUCUUUUUUAAUAUACACAAUGUCUGUGUGUUGUUCUUGAUAGUUUUAGUUUAAACUUUUAGAUGAAUGUACUAAUAUAAACAUGGUUGUAUCACGGGGUUUCAACACACAAAGUGAUUUUUAAAGGUUUCCAAAAGACUUGAGCGACAUCGUCACUAUAAAGUUAUGCUAGCUCCCCCCACAAAGAACUAGUCACGUGAGCAAUAUUAAAAUCACCUGACCCAAACGAUAACAAAAUAUGCAAAGAGGAGAGGAAGUACCCUAGCACUAGCAACACAGAAAAAGGACGGUUGAAGAAACUAAUAAAGUGCAAGGGGAAGAACUGCUUUCAUAACAGCAAUCAAUAGCAGACCAUUAAAAUGCCUGGCCCUAACAAGAAAAACUACUCCAAAUGUGAGAAGUUCUUGAUAUGUAUAACAUGUGGCCUAGCUUAUCUCUGCCUCUAAGAAAGCUCAACUACUGUACUGUGAAAACUCAAUUAUUAUAGUGUGAAUGCUGAUACUAAAUAGUAGAACUUAUAAAAACUUUUAUAUGAUUUUUUAUCAUCAUUGCUGCUACUUUAUAAUUGUUCGAAAAAUUUUGCAUUAGUCAAAAUUCCAUGCUCAAGU
rnacentral:lncRNA from 1 species